GACGAACGCUGGCGGCGUGCUUAACACAUGCAAGUCGAACGGAAAGGCCCUGCUUUUGUGGGGUGCUCGAGUGGCGAACGGGUGAGUAACACGUGAGUAACCUGCCCUUGACUUUGGGAUAACUUCAGGAAACUGGGGCUAAUACCGGAUAGGAGCUCCUGCUGCAUGGUGGGGGUUGGAAAGUUUCGGCGGUUGGGGUUGGACUCGCGGCUUAUCAGCUUGUUGGUGGGGUAGUGGCUUACCAAGGCUUUGACGGGUAGCCGGCCUGAGAGGGUGACCGGCCACAUUGGGACUGAGAUACGGCCCAGACUCCUACGGGAGGCAGCAGUGGGGAAUAUUGCACAAUGGGCGGAAGCCUGAUGCAGCAACGCCGCGUGCGGGAUGACGGCCUUCGGGUUGUAAACCGCUUCCGCCUGUGACGAAGCGUGAGUGACGGUAAUGGGUAAAGAAGCACCGGCUAACUACGUG
rnacentral:rRNA from 1 species